AUUGAACGCUGGCGGCAGGCCUAACACAUGCAAGUCGAGCGAGCGGCGGACGGGUGAGUAAAGUAUGGGGACUGUCCGAAAGAGGGGGAUAAAUACUGGAAACGGUAGUGAUAACCGCAUACAAUCGGGUAACCCAUAUGGGAUUAGCUCGUAGGUGAGGUAAUGGCUCACCUAGGCGACGAUCCCUAGCUUGUCUGAGAGGAUGAUCAGCCACACUGGGACUGAGACACGGCCCAGACUCCUACGGAGGCAGCAGUGGGGAAUAUUGCACAAUGGGCGCAAGCCUGAUGCAGCCAUGCCGCGUGUAUGAAGAAGGCCCUAGGGUUGUAAAGUACUUUCAGUCGAGAGGCGUUACCGACAGAAGAAGCACCGGCUAACUCCGUGCCAGCAGCCGCGGUAAUAC
rnacentral:rRNA from 1 species